UUGUUAUUAAUAUUUAAACCAGAGAGCCGAAGCUAGUAUAUAUUAUAUGACAACGUUUAGAUAAUAAAUAGUUUGCGUUUGUAUCUUGAUUGAAGUGGACCUGUGCGUGAUUUAAUUAAUAUGAAAGUACAUCUGUUACUGGCUCUCCUGAUUGGGACCUGUUACGCUAACAAUGGCGUGUGCAACAUGUCAGACGGUUCAAUAGGGACAUGUGUAAAACCAGGACAAUGUAAGGCACCGGACCUUGGUAACUUGAGUGUUUACAGGACAAUACAAAUGGUGUGCCCAACUGGAGAAGAAUGCUGUGAUUUUACAGAUGUAAUCCAAUCUUCUAGUUCACCCAUUACCGUUAAUAAUUAUGUAAGAACAUCAAAUACUAAUAUGAAUAUAAAUUAUAACAAUUUCAAUUAUUAUAACAAUUUUCAACAAUAUUAUAGAUAGUUUUACCAUUUAUCAUUUAGUUAUAUCUAUUAAAUAAAUACCAACCUACAAUCUGCGGCUAUUAUAUUAUUCCGAUUAAAGAUAUAUACUGGUCGAAGAUCCUUCGAAGAAAGAUCCAUGAAAGAACACCACCUUCUUACCUCCACAUUAUCCAUUUUUAUUAAAAACUGUUUAGCUUCUUCAGUCAUUUGUCACUUUUCAUAGCAAAAUAGUUUAAGUUAAAUUUUCAAAUCGUACUCAAAUAGUUUAAGAAAUUUGUGAAUGAGCGUAUUAUGUGGUUAAAUUUUGUAAAAUAAAUUUAUCAAAAUCC